AUUCUGGUUCUUGCUCUUCUGGUGGCCUCAACCAUUUUUAUUUGAUGCUGUUAUAGUGUGUCUUUGAUGUUGUCUCUCCAUCUUCUUCAGGUCCUGCCUUGUGCCCUUUGACCUUCUCCUCUUUUUGCAUAUGUCUCAAGACAUUCUCUCCAGGUCUCCAAGGAUGGUAUUAAAGAUAUUGUAGCUCCCACUUCCUAACUCUGGGAUAUCAGAGGGAUUCUCCUGUGUAAAGAAUAAUUAUCAGCACUGCUGUUACCUCUAAGAGAACAAUAUGGACAUGCAAGAAAAAAUGUUGGGAGGUGGCCAGAAGAUGGCGGUCAGCAGAUGACAACCACUCAAAAUUGAAGAGAUUGUGAAAUAUAAUAGAAGAAGAGACAGUACAUAUGUUAUUGUAUAGACCUGUAUUGCGCUCUCUCUCUCUCUCUCUCUCUCUCUCUCUCUCUCUCUCUCUCUCUCUCUCUCUCACACACACACACACACACACACACACACCAAAUAUGUAUCAAAUAUGUAUAUUUUAAAUUGCUUAAGCCAUCCCCUCUAGGUUGCCCACUAAGUUGACAAUAGCUGGGAAACCCAAACAAACUAGAUAUUACCUUCCUAUUUUGUUUUUUCCCCAAAUACACUGAUUACCAAAGGCCUUUCACCCAACUGUUUGUGGAACUGGGCCUAGCAACUCUUUUUAUAAGAAUAGGGGUAUUCAUAAGAUACAUUCAGUCAUCGGAUCAUUUCCUCAAUUUUAGACUGCUGAUAUGAGGAGUAGACAUGACCAGACCAUACUAUUGGAUCAAAUAAGAGCCAGCCUCCCACAAAAAAAUGAUUUUAACUCCUUCAGAACUGAAGAACCUUCUUGAUGAGAAGAGAAACGUCUUCAAAGAAAAACAAAAAAAGUUCAGUUGCCUUUUGAAAAAGCACCUUUGGGACUCCUUCGUGCUUUCCUGACUAAGGGUGGAAUUGAACACGGCUUUCCUCAGCCCUAGUUAAAUGCCUCAAUACCUCAAACACCAUACCACCCUCUCUAUUGAUCUGGCUGUGCUUGGAUGAAGGGAGGGAUCCUUGAACAAAUCAGGGUCAAGAGAUGAAGGCUGACAUAAUUUUGGGGGAGGGGAAACAUUUGAUAGAAGGGAUCCAUUAUAAAGAAAAAGAAUAUCCCCCUUUUCUAUUCCUACAAAAGAAAAAGAAUAACACAUACGAAUAAUAGUCCAACUAUUAUUGUGGUUUUUCACACAGUUAGUCAGAUGUUCAGACUGGAUUUGACAAUUUUGUCUACCUAUCAAGGUCUUCCUAAGCACCUGGGAGAGGCAGAUAUGAAUGUUUGAUGGUGUUAGAGGUAUCACUGUUAUUGUUAUUUCAGUUUUGAGGAUGCUUGACUCUAGAACAGGGGUGUCAAACUGGAUUUCACUGAGGGCCGCAUCAGGGUGGUGUUUGACCUCAGGGGGCCGGGGUGGGCAUGGCCAGUUUGACAUCACUUGUGUUGGGAGCGCCGGUGGUGGUCUGAGUGCUCUGGCAGUAAAAACAGGUUCCCAAGCUAGCUCCGUUUUCAGCUGAGACAGCCUCCUGCAACCCUCUGCCAGUGAAAGUGGAGCUCCAGAGGGCCACCUGGAGCCAUUUUUGCUGGCAGAGGCACCACAGGCCGAUCCUUCACUGUUUCCAGGGCAGCCCUGCAGGCCAGAUCUAACCACUGUCAGGUUUCGAGGUCGUCUCAAAUAAAUUGCAUUUCAAACAAAGUCUUUGAUGAAAAACUCUCAUUUAUUAAGCACGACAUUCUAACUCUGACUUCAUCAUAGCCAACACUGACUUCCUGACCCAAAACCCUCCCUUUCCUUUCCCCACUCCUCUGCACUCAUUGGCCAUCUUCCAAAUCACUCUACCCCUAAUCUACUGCUUCAGCUCAAAGGAAUUUCCCCCCUCCCAUCCCAUCUCCUAGGGGAUAUUAUCUCCAGGGAAAAUAAGUAGG